ACGGAAGGCAGCAGUGGGGAAUAUUGGGCAAUGGGGGAAACCCUGACCCAGCAACGCCGCGUGAAGGAAGAAGGCCUUCGGGUUGUAAACUUCUUUUACCAGGGACGAAUUCUGACGGUACCUGGAGAAAAAGCAACGGCUAACUACGUGCCAGCAGCCGCGGUAAUACGUAGGUUGCAAGCGUUGUCCGGAUUUACUGGGUGUAAAGGGCGCGUAGGCGGAGCUGCAAGUCAGAUGUGAAAUCCCGGGGCUCAACCCCGGAACUGCAUUUGAAACUGUAGCCCUUGAGUAUCGGAGAGGCAAGCGGAAUCCCUAGUGUAGCGGUGAAAUGCGUAGAUAUUAGGAGGAACACCAGUGGCGAAGGCGGCUUGCUGGACGACAACUGACGCUGAGGCGCGAAAGCGUGGGGAGCAAACAGGAUUAGAUACCCUGGUA
rnacentral:rRNA from 1 species